UACAACACCUUGGGGUGCCGGAAUUGGCCGGCUGAGAUGGAAACCCGCGAAGUUUCCGACCCAUGAACCUGAUCCGGAUAAUGCCGGCGGAGGAAAGCGUGAGGUUGAUUCAU
rnacentral:ncRNA from 2 species